GACAAUUUGAGGCUCCUCCUCCUCCAUUUCCUCUGCUCCACAGGUGCCGCUCUGCAGGAGUAAGCAGAUUUGAAGAGACGCCGCAUUUACAGCUCAACGUCCCCUUCAGUUCAUUUUAAUCUUAAUUUUCGGCGGACGUUUUCUCUUUACGGCUUCGUAAUUUUGUCGGAAAAGACCCUUUUUAGUUUCCUGUUAUUAAAAAACACUUUGCAGUGAGUAGAGAGAGCGUUUGGAGAGAAUGGCGGCUAUUAAAGCGCUCCAGCAGUGGUGUAAAAUUCAGUGCGAGGGAUACCGAGAUGUGGCCAUCAGCAACAUGAGCAUGUCUUUCAGAGAUGGACUGGCCUUCUGUGCGCUCAUCCACAAGUUCAGACCGGAUCUCAUAAACUUCGAGUCUCUCUCCAAAGACAAUGUGUAUUACAACAAUCACUUGGCUUUUCGUGUGGCUGAAGAUCAUCUGGGGAUCCCUGCUCUUCUGGAUGCGGAGGAUAUGGUGGCCUUGCCUGUCCCAGACAGACUCAGCAUCCUCACAUAUGUCUCACAAUACUACAAUUACUUCCAUGGCCGCUCCCCAAUCGGGGGAGUAGGAGGUAUCAAGCGGCACGCUGAGGACUCAAAGGAGGUGCCAUCAGAGAAGAAGAAUCUGCCUGUGGUUGCCAAAAACCACAAUCUCAAAACAAAUACAGAGAACCGUCCUCCUCAAAGUGAAAUGCCAAAAAUUAUCAACCGUCCUCCAUCUCUUAACAUCCAGAAAAGUGCUCCAGAGAAGCACGCUCUAGCCACUCCAGCUCGGCAGACUGGCACAGACCGGCAGAAAUCUCCAGGGCCUAAAUGUGUGCAAGCGCCCGUCACACCACUCAGAGCGAGAUCUCCACAACCACACAGAGAAGCUGAGAAGAAGUCUGUUUUGGUGGAGACCUCAAAUAAAACGGGUACAUUAAACAGUGAAUGUGCCGUCUGUGGAAAUCAUGUACAUCUAGUCCAGAGACACCUGGUGGAUGGAAAACUCUACCACCGGAGCUGCUAUAAGUGCAGUGUAUGUUAUGGCACACUGAAAUCUGGAGCAUAUAAACUGGGAUCAGACACUGGUUCACUCGUCUGCACUAUUCACCAACAUGGCCAAAAUGGCUUCAAGCCCACUGUUAAGCCUUUUAAGAGCAGCGGCUUUACAGUUUCUGAUUUGGUGGCCAAAUCUGAGCGAGAAGAUCAGUCGCCUUCACAGCGCUACAUCUCUGUAUUAUCUGCACCCAUCAAGGCUGUUCCUAGACCUGUGGAGCUUAGCCUGGCUCAGCAGUCAUGGACGUCUUCGGCUCAGAGGACUCAAGCAGCUCGGCAGAAGUUCUUCCAGUCUUGUGCCCCAGCAACAGAGCUUCAGCCCAAUACCAAACCACCAUUAGGCCCAGCUGAGCCCUCCAAUCUGAAGGUGCAGGAGAAAGAAGGAAACCGUGCUCUGGCGAAUGGAAAUCCACUACAUGAAGGAAACGCCAAUAACAACAAUGCACUGAAUUCUGACCCAAGAGCAAAAAGCCAGGUAAAAAUCAGUUGCUCUUCUGCUGAAGUCUCUACUUGGAGGCAGGAGCUACAUGUGCGAGAUUCAAAAGGCAGGAGUUCAUAUCAGGCUGCUCCAUCCAGCCCUGCUAUUAUCAGCAGCGGCGGCGGCAUGAACGGCAAGGAAUCGCUCUACCUCAGUGCCAUCAGCAAGGAGAGCAGCAGACCUCCAUCCCUGCUGCAGACUACUGCCAAAGCUUCAGCCAAUGAUGUUCAGAGCUACGAUGCCCCGGCUGACUGGAGAUCAAAGCCAAAGGCAGCUCCAAAUGGACCAAGACUCAACCGGCGUAUGCCUCCUGCCUCCCCCAUAGUGUGCAGAGUGCAUCCUCUCGCUCUGUCCCCAAUCCUCAACAGUCCCAACGAGUGCUGCGCCUAAACCAACCCUCUCUGAAACCAUAUACUCUUACCUUGAGUUCUUCUGAUGAUCCUCCUAUUUAGUUUUGUGGGCGUCUGCUGUAUAUAAGUAGAUCUCCUGAUAUUGCCAAAGAUGUUCCAUUGACGUGUGGAGAAAACAAAGAUUUAAAAGUGCAGGAUUCUCAAGCCUUCAUGUUGAACCACUCCAAGGGUUGUAAUAAUGAUUGUUCUUUGGCCUCAUGCGUAUCACCCUCUACGUCCUGUCACAAACUUUCAUCUCCAAAACAGCCUCGCUGCGGGUCAGCGACAUCAAGUUACGACAAUGGAAAUAUAUUAUGUAAUAACAUUUUGCUCCAUGAAGCAAGGUCACCUACUACAAACACUUGCUAUAUCACGCCAGAGCAGAUCUCAAAAGAACUGCAAGACAUUGAAAACAACCUCAACGAUUUGGAGAAUGAAGGAGUGGAGCUGGAAUGGAAACUUCGUGUUUAUGAAGAAGAGGGUCAUGGGGACAUUCUGAUGGACCCCUUAAUGGUUGAUUGGUUUAACCUGAUUCGGAAGAAACAAAGCUACAUACGGAGAGAGUCGGAGUUGAUGUACAUAGCAAGAACACAAGAUCUGGAGGAGCAACAGCCGGGAGUGGAGGGGGAACUCAGGAGAUUGAUCAACAAACCAGAACAUCUCAAAACUCUGAAUGAGAAGAAGAGGGAAACUGAGCUGUUGAACAGACUGAUGAAGAUUGUGAAUGACAGAAACGCUAUUGUUGAGGGUCUGGAGGAAGACAGGAUAAGGGAGGAGGAGGAAGAUCAACAGUUGAAUGAAAUGAUGCAAAGACUGGGUCUUCAGAAGUUUAAAAACAAACGCAAGUCAUCCUUCUCAAAGUUAUUUCGACGACGAAGUAAAAAAGCCUCGAUGGGAGAGUGAAGCUCACAGCUACUAGACUGAAGUGCUCCAUAUGUUCGGCUGCAGUUUGUUGAAACUUCAUCUUUUUAGAUGUUUUAAAAAAACAAGGUGGGUCUACAAAAUGUCAGGUGGUUUAGUGAGGUAAGAGUUCUUGAAGUAAAAUGUUGUUUAUUAUUAACUUUUUAUUAUUUCAGUCAUGUUCAGAAAGUUUUUCACUUUGAUUUACCUAAUGCUUGUUCUAUUCAUUUAAGAUGUUUAAUUUUGCUCCUAUACUUUCAAUGCGUGGGCUCCUUUUGAAUAAUUAUUGUUCAGAAUAUACAUUUACUUAACUUCUUUAUUUUUAUUUCCACCCCCUCACUUGUUCGGAGAUAAACCGUACCGUUGUAUUAGCAGAUAAACAAACAGAUGUCCAAGGCUGGCUGAAGCACGCUCUUUGACUGCCAUCCAAAAAUCUGCGGAGCAUCUUAAUUUAACCCUAACCUCCAAUAAGCGUUGAGCUCAAAGAUUGAAAGCGUUCAUUGUGCAGUGCUAACAGUGACCUGAAGGGGGCACUAUGAGCUUGCAUGCAUGUGCAUCAGAAUAUCCAGACUCUUAUAUCCUGUGAACGCUAAAUCAAGCUGGAGAUUAGACUGCAGAAGAUCUUGUGUGUGUGUGUGCGCGCGCGCUGGAGAGGCACGGAUUAUUGGUUUUAUUCUCUUUUUAAGUCUCUAACCUAGUUCAAUUAAAAGUGUACCUCAUUUAACUUAUCCAAGUAGUAGAUGUGCAAAGAGGCCUUUUUUAAUGUUUUAAAUAAAAGGUAUGACUGAACUGUUUGAAAAAGCUACUGCAGGAAUGUUUUAAAGAUGUUUUAAAAAGUUCUCUGAAGAGAUGCUGAUGAUGUGCUUAUUUAUUGUGUAUUUGACUUUAAUAACAUGGGUUAUUCAAUAAAUCUUAAGGAAGUUUCUAAUUGUAUUAUAACCAAGGUGAAUGCA